rnacentral:tRNA from 2 species
GGGGAUGUAGCUCAGCUGGUAGAGCACCUGCUUUGCACGCAGGGGGUCAGGGGUUCGAGUCCCCUCAUCUCCACCA